rnacentral:rRNA from 1 species
UCAGCUCGUGUCGUGAGAUGUUGGGUUAAGUCCCGUAACGAGCGCAACCCUUGUCCUUAGUUACCAGCACCUCGGGUGGGCACUCUAAGGAGACUGCCGGUGACAAACCGGAGGAAGGUGGGGAUGACGUCAAGUCAUCAUGGCCCUUACGGCCAGGGCUACACACGUGCUACAAUGGUCGGUACAAAGGGUUGCCAAGCCGCGAGGUGGAGCUAAUCCCAUAAAACCGAUCGUAGUCCGGAUCGCAGUCUGCAACUCGACUGCGUGAAGUCGGAAUCGCUAGUAAUCGUGAAUCAGAAUGUCACGGUGAAUACGUUCCCGGGCCUUGUACACACCGCCCGUCACACCAUGGGAGUGGGUUGCUCCAGAAGUAGCUAGUCUAACCGCAAGGGGGACGGUUACCACGGAGUGAUUCAUGACUGGGGUGAAGUCUAAAAGGGGAACCCAAAA